AGAUCAUUUUGGGGAAAAUUCCUUAGUAACCCAUUAUACCGCUCCCAUGCUUCAUAUAAAGAUUCCCCCACAUGUUACUCGAAAUUGGCUAUGAAUUUCUUGAGUUU